GGGGGGGGGGGGCAAGCGUUGUUCGGAAUUACUGGGCGUAAAGGGCGCGUAGGCGGGCCCGGAAAGUCUUACGUGAAAUCCCACAGCUCAACUGUGGAAUUGCGUGGGAAACUGCCAGGCUUGAGUCCGGGAGAGGAGAGUGGAAUUCCCAGUGUAGCGGUGAAAUGCGUAGAUAUUGGGAGGAACACCGGUGGCGAAGGCGGCUCUCUGGACCGGCACUGACGCUGAGGCGCGAAAGCUAGGGGAGCAAACGGGAUUAGAUACCCCGGUAGUCCUAGCCCUAAACGUUGAGCACUUGGUGUGGCGGGUAUCGACCCCUGCCGUGCCGAAGCUAACGCAUUAAGUGCUCCGCCUGGGGAGUACGGUCGCAAAGGCUG
rnacentral:rRNA from 1 species